GCUGGGACUACAGGUGCCCACGACCAUGCCUGGCUAAUUUUUUUUUUUUUUGUAUUUUUCGUAGAGAUGGGGUUUCACCGUGUUAGCCAGGAUGGUCUUGAUCUCCUGACCUUGUGAUCCACCCGUCUCGGCCUCCCAAAGUGCUGGGAUUACAGGCGUGAGCCACCAUGCCCAGCCCAAUUGCACAUUCUUAAUGUGUACAAUUUGAUAUUUUUAUUUUAACAUAUGUAUAUACCCAUGAAUCCAUUACCAUGCCAAAAAAAAUGAACAUGUCCACAUUCCCAGAAGUUUCCUCAUGCCUUUUGCAAUUCUUCCCUUUCUCUCUAAUCAAUCCUCACUACACGCAGCCAACAACUGAUCUGCUUUCUAGCACUAUGAAUUAGCUUGUAUUGUCUAGAAUUUUAUAUACAUGAAAUCACAUAGUAUGUAUUCUUUGUGUCUAGCUUCUUUACCCAAAACAAUUAUUUUGAGAUUCACCCAUGUUGUGUGUAUCAGAAGUCAUUUUGUUUGCUUUGUUUUUUAUUGAAUGUUAUUCUGUCGUAUGGCUACACAUCAAUUUGUUUAUCCAUUUACCUGCUGGUGAACAUUUGGGUUGUUUCUGGUUCUUUGCUGUUACAAAUAAAGCUGCUAUGAAUAUUAAUUUGCAAGUCUUUGUGUGUGCAGACAUACACUUUAUUUUCUCUUGGGUAAAUACCAGAAAUGGAAUGGCUAAGUCAUAGUAUGUGUAUGUGUAAUUUUUAAGGAAAUAUACAGCAAUUUUAAAUAAAGCUAAAGAUACGUAUUCCCUUUGAUCAAGCAAGUCCCAAGAGAACUCUAUUUCUCUGUGUAUAUUACUAACAGAAAUAAAUGCAUAUGUCGACCCAAAGAUAUGUGUAAAAUAUUCAUAUAAGCUUUAUUAAUAAUAGCCCAAAAUUGGACACAUGUCCAAAUGUUCAUCAAUGGUAGCCAGGAAUUCCCUUCCCACUGUGGUGUCCUGAGUUGCCUCAGGCCAGCAGAGGUAUUUUGUUGUUCAUAAAAUCUGUUAUAAUUACUGCAUUACAUACACUUUCAAUUCCUUUGACUCUGUCUAUUUUCACUGUCCUUUUCUGUCUAACCCUAACACUCAUAAACCCAGAUUUUGCAUAGUCCCUGCCAACAUCUGAAUGUGACUGAAGAAAACUAUGCAACUUUGUGAUUGGUCUCUCUGUGGUCCUCAACCAGGAAAGGUUCAGUUCCCUGGGCAGUGUUUGGAAGUGGGGCAGAGAACAUUUUGAUCAGCACAAUGAUUGAGGGGUACUACCAAGGGCCAGGGAUGCUAAAUGCCAAGGAAGAUGCCUGCCUGAAACACUGACAGCAUCUCCACUGAAAAACAUUGUUUGACCACAAACCUUAAUGGUCACAGCUGCCUGAAAUCAUACUAUGAUUCCCUCAUCAAUUCCCUUUCCCACUCUCCUAGAAAAACUUUUAUCUCUUCUCUCUUCAAACCUACAAUGUCUUCUGCCUCCUCCUCAUUUUUACCCAUAAACCAUUUUUAUCUGUAAACCAUACUUCUUAUUCAAUAGAAAAAUAGAAAAGUUCAGAAGGAAACCUCCACAUGCUCUUGAUAUCUACCAGUGUACCUACAUCUAUGCCCACACACUCAGUAUCCCAUCCUGUCACUAUAGGUAAAUUGUCCAGGCUAGUUUCUAAGUCCUCUAUUUGUGUACUGGAUUUUUCCCCCUUUUACCUACUUGAUAACUUCCCUCUUACAAUCAUUGCAUCAUCGAUUUUCCCCUCUGCUGUAUUAUUUCCAUCAGGAUAUAGGCAAUCCAUACUAUUUCAUGACCACAAAAUACUCUCCCAUGACAUCAUAUUUCCCUCUACAUUUUAGAAGGUGGUAAUUUACAGGGAGUCACGUGACCUAGCUCUGCCACCAUCUCACCAAUGACCUUGAGUUUGCACCUUUGAGUGCCUUUGUACAUCUCAGUUUUCUCAUGUUAAAAUGAAGAGAUGAUACUAGUUAUCUUGGAGGUCUAUGACAUAUUGCUUCACAAUGUGCAUAUGCGGCAACAGACACAGCCCAUCUAGCCUGUGUUAGGAAGAUGCCAAGCUAAGCACCAUAGGGAGUGGAGGAAUGGAUAAGGCAUGCAGUUUUCUGCCUGUGGAAACAUAGGGGGACCCAAGACAGGAACACAAGCGACUCUUCUGCAAGGUUAAGGAUAAGGGCCUAAAAAUAGGGAUUAAGUUCAGAGCAGAGCAGCAGAGGCAGAUCAAUGAGGUUAGAAGAACUGGGCAAAGCUUUAUGGAAGGUAGUGCUUAUAAUGGGACUUUAAGGAUACUCAAAGGAACAGUAUAAAUUCAAAGAGAUGAAGCAGCUUUGGGUUAAAUUCAGUUUUCUUUUGAGGUAAAAUAAAGGAAAGUAGAGGGGGAGGGCAAGAUGGCCAACUAGACACAGACAGGUGGAAUCAUUUCCACCAAGGGACUGAGACGACUAGCAUGCUCCUAACAGAUCUUCAAAGGGAAGACACUAUGAAUGAAGGGAAGACACAGAAGCUGGGCUGAAAGGGGAGAAAGCUGGAAACCCUACAUGGGGAUACAGCACACUUGGACUUGUUCCUGAUUCCCAAUGGCUUUAGGGGAACGAAUGAGUUGAACUGACAAGGAGCAACCCACUCUCACCAUGGGCCUCUGGAACCUUGGCAGGAAGAGACCUCUCAACCACCAUGGACACUUGAAUUGGCAGAGAGCUGCUUAGAGAAGUGGUAGGGACAGCCAGCUGAAGUGGAGCCUGGAGGGUUUGGUGUGGGCGUGUCUGUAGCAGAGCACAGUCAGGAACAGCUAUCCCACUAGGCUUGACUUGUUCCUAUAGGAGACUUUAGCCCUAGGGGAACUGUCGGUCCUGAAUUCUGCAGGGCAAUCUUGCCCAUCAGAUGGGGCCAGUGUGACCUGAGCAACCCUUGGUAUGGUGGCCUCUCCUGGGGCCUCAGCCUGGCCACACCUGCUUACAGAAUAGUCUCAGGUGCCCUGGGGGCCCACACCAUGGUUUUUAUGGUGGCAGACCAUGCCUGACUGGCAGAGAGCUCCAACAGGGUGGCUCCUACUGCCACAUACCAGCCCACAUGAGAGUGCAGUCUGCCUCACCUCAUUCUACUGACCACCAUUGCAGAUGGAGCCUUG
rnacentral:lncRNA from 10 species